UGGGGAAUAUUGGACAAUGGGGGCAACCCUGAUCCAGCGACGCCGCGUGUGUGAAGAAGGCCUGCGGGUUGUAAAGCACUUUUAGUGGGGAUGAAAAACUCAGGGCUAAUAAACCUGGGUCUUGACCUAACCCAAAGAAAAAGCACCGGCUAACUCUGUGCCAGCAGCCGCGGUAAUACAGAGGGUGCAAGCGUUAAUCGGAAUUACUGGGCGUAAAGCGUGCGUAGACGGUUUCGUAAGUCGGGUGUGAAAGCCCCGGGCUCAACCUGGGAAUUGCAUUCGAGACUGCGAGGCUAGGGUGCGGAAGAGGGAAGCGGAAUUUCCGGUGUAGCGGUGAAAUGCGUAGAUAUCGGAAGGAACAUCAGUGGCGAAGGCGGCUUCCUGGUCCAGCACCGACGCUCAGGCACGAAAGCGUGGGGAGCAAACAGGAUUAGAUACCCUGGUAGUCCACGCCAUAAACGAUGAGAACUAGACGUUGAGAGGGUAAGCCUCCCAGUGUCGUAGCUAACGCGCUAAGUUCUCCGCCUGGGGAGUACGGCCGCAAGGUUG
rnacentral:rRNA from 1 species